rnacentral:lncRNA from 1 species
CACGCUCACCGACCACAGAGCUGCUUGUCCAAGCCACAGUGUCAGACUUAAACAAAACAAAACAAAAUUCCUGCUUGGAUCAGAGACUUGGCUUCUGGGACCGUUGACUUAUCAGAAAUUUGCCUCCUCUCUGCUUCAUAACGAACCCCAGGAAGAGAGAGGGACCAGGGAUCUCAAAGAAAUAUUUGUCCUUGUGGCACCGACUAGGUGGAAGAAAAGUCUCAACAUGACAAGAGGGGAUAUAAACUGAAGUUCAUCAGCACAGUGAAGUUUUAUUGUAUUUCCGGUCCCUAAAAGAGAAGCCGGCAGCCAGGCAGACUCCCUCCUUAUCUCCGAGUUUCCACGCCAGGGACACACACGUGGCCAAGCGGACACUUGCCUUCGGGAGCAGGGAGGGAGGGAGCCGGCUCCGACCUACUCUCCCUCACUGGCUCAGCCAGGUCCUCAACGUCUCCACUUCUUUGUAAAUGCGGAAAAGAGUGGCCUACCUGGGGCUGUCCAGCAGCUGUGAAACCAGAGUCCUAUCUUAUGCCAGCAGAGUGACUGUUUCAGCCUUAUUGUUUGUGCCCUAGAAUUCACGGUGCCUUCUAACCCUGACUUUCUCCAUCAAUUUUUUUUUUCUCAGUUCUACUUGGCUCCACUCUCCUGUCUACUCCCCUGUCUCAAGGCUGGGGUUGCCUUAGAGUUGGAUAUCUGAGAGCUGCCUGGGAGUCUGGGUAACCCUGGAGCCCAGGGACUGGCCAGAUGCCCCUCAAGGCUGCUGCUGGCUCUGUGCCCAGGAAAGAAGUUCUUUGGAGUGCUGGUGGGAAGAAGGACUUGCCAACGAAUAGGCUAACUUUUGUUCCUAAACCCGUUCCCUGCUUGAGGCAGAGGAAAUGUGCAAGGGGCCCAUGAAAGAGGCCCUGACCGGAUGGGACUCCGGCGCCAGGCUGAUUUAGAUUCGGG